GCGCUAUCAGAUGAGCCUAGGUCGGAUUAGCUAGUUGGUGAGGUAAUGGCUCACCAAGGCGACGAUCCGUAACUGGUCUGAGAGGAUGAUCAGUCACACUGGAACUGAGACACGGUCCAGACUCCUACGGGAGGCAGCAGUGGGGAAUAUUGGACAAUGGGCGAAAGCCUGAUCCAGCCAUGCCGCGUGUGUGAAGAAGGUCUUCGGAUUGUAAAGCACUUUAAGUUGGGAGGAAGGGCAGUAAAUUAAUACUUUGCUGUUUUGACGUUACCGACGGAAUAAGCACCGAAU
rnacentral:rRNA from 1 species